UACGUAGGGUGCGAGCGUUGUCCGGAAUUAUUGGGCGUAAAGAGCUCGUAGGCGGUCUGUCGCGUCGGUCGUGAAAACUUGGGGCUUAACCCUGAGCUUGCGGUCGAUACGGGCAUGACUGGAGUUCGGCAGGGGAGACUGGAAUUCCUGGUGUAGCGGUGAAAUGCGCAGAUAUCAGGAGGAACACCGAUGGCGAAGGCAGGUCUCUGGGCCGAUACUGACGCUGAGGAGCGAAAGCGUGGGGAGCGAACAGG
rnacentral:rRNA from 1 species